UUGACUGGCGAGUGUUCUUUCUCUACGAUCCGUCGGACACAUAGGAACCUCCUCAAAGGAUUCUAUGGACAGUCGAUGCAGGGAGUGACAGCUCCCUGUAUCGGCGAUUUAACUUGUUUUUUUAACGUAGCGUUAACUACAAAGACACUAUAUUGUUUUCAGCCUUAA
rnacentral:misc_RNA from 3 species